rnacentral:rRNA from 1 species
CAGGCCUAACACAUGCAAGUCUAACGAGCUGAGACCUUCGGGUCUCGAUGCUAGUGGCGCACGGGUGAGUAACGCGUGGGAACGUACCCUUUAGUACGGAAUAACGCAGGGAAACUUGCGCUAAUACCGUAUACGCCCUUCGGGGGAAAGUUUUAUCGCUAAAGGAUCGGCCCGGGUCUGAUCAGGUAGUUGGUGAGGUAACGGCUCACCAAGCCGACGAUCAGUAGCUGGGUUGGGAGAAUGAUCAGCAACACUGGGACAGAGACACGGCCCAGACUUCUACGGGAGGCAGCAGUGGGGAGUAUUGGACAAUGGGCGAAAGCCUGAUCCAGCCAUGCCGCGUGAGUGAAGAAGGCCUUCGGGUUGUAAAGCUCUUUCGGCGGGGACGAUGACGACGGUACCCGCAUAAGAAGCCCCGGCAAACUUCGUGCCAGCAGCCGCCGGAA